GAAACCAACUGGGAUUACCUUAGUAACGGCGAGUGAGGCGGUAAAAGCUCAAAUUUGAAAUCUGGUACUUUCAGUGCCCGAGUUGUAAUUUGUAGAAUUUGUCUUUGAUUAGGUCCUUGUCUAUGUUCCUUGGAACAGGACGUCAUAGAGGGUGAGAAUCCCGUUUGGCGAGGAUACCUUUUCUCUGUAAGACUUUUUCGAAGAGUCGAGUUGUUUGGGAAUGCAGCUCAAAGUGGGUGGUAAAUUCCAUCUAAAGCUAAAUAUUGGCGAGAGACCGAUAGCGAACAAGUACAGUGAUGGAAAGAUGAAAAGAACUUUGAAAAGAGAGUGAAAAAGUACGUGAAAUUGUUGAAAGGGAAGGGCAUUUGAUCAGACAUGGUGUUUUUGCAUGCACUCGCCUCUCGUGGGCUUGGGCCUCUCAAAAAUUUCACUGGGCCAACAUCAAUUCUGGCAGCAGGAUAAAUCAUUAAGAAUGUAGCUACUUCGGUAGUGUUAUAGCUUUUUGGAAUACUGUUAGCCGGGUAUU
rnacentral:rRNA from 1 species